rnacentral:rRNA from 1 species
UACGAAGGGGGCUAGCGUUGUUCGGAAUUACUGGGCGUAAAGCGCACGUAGGCGGACAUUUAAGUCAGGGGGUGAAAUCCCAGAGCUCAACUCUGGAACUGCCUUUGAUACUGGGUGUCUUGAGUAUGGAAGAGGUGAGUGGAAUUCCGAGUGUAGAGGUGAAAUUCGUAGAUAUUCGGAGGAACACCAGUGGCGAAGGCGGCUCACUGGUCCAUUACUGACGCUGAGGUGCGAAAGCGUGGGGAGCAAACAGGAUUGAGAAACCCU